rnacentral:lncRNA from 1 species
AGCAAUGAAUCCCAACCAGAAUAGGAACAAAGAAAGCCAUAUCAACGCCUAGCAUGUUCAGAUCUCUGAAAAAGACUAAUAAAAUGUCCUAAAAGCAAGCAGAAAGAGAAAGGAAAUUGCACACAGUAGAACAAGAGGUAAGAAUGACUGUAAACUCCACAUUAAGAACUCAGGUAGACACACUUGGAAUGAGUAUAAAGUAAGUCUUGGCAAGAAAAUGUAACUUAGGGGCUG